rnacentral:tRNA from 2 species
GCAUUAAUGGGGUAGUGGUAACCUGGGUCGUUGCCAGUCGAAUAAUUCGACCCGCCGCGAGUUCGAUUCUCGCUUAAUGCA